CAGCCGCCGCGGUAAUACGAAGGGUGCAAGCGUUACUCGGAAUUACUGGGCGUAAAGCGUGCGUAGGUGGUGGUUUAAGUCCGUUGUGAAAGCCCUGGGCUCAACCUGGGAAUUGCAGUGGAUACUGGGUCACUAGAGUGUGGUAGAGGAUAGUGGAAUUUCCGGUGUAGCAGUGAAAUGCGUAGAGAUCGGAAGGAACAUCUGUGGCGAAGGCGACUAUCUGGGCCAACACUGACACUGAGGCACGAAAGCGUGGGGAGCAAACAGGAUUAGAUACCCCCGUAGUCCCUGUUUCUUAUAC
rnacentral:rRNA from 1 species